rnacentral:lncRNA from 1 species
GUCUCACUAAGUCAUUAAAAAUUCCACUUUUAUGAUUACCUCGUACGAUUAGUUGAAAUCUUCAUAUAAUUUUCAUUUAGACGUGGACGAAUGUCUCUCAAACUCAACAUGCAACGCGAGUGCAACAUGUAACAACACAGAAGGAUCUUAUACAUGCACGUGUGAUACUGGAUACAGUGGUGAUGGAUUUUCUUGCGUUGGUAUGCACAGCAUUGAGUUAUUAAUUAUUGUAACAAUCAGAAAAACUAGGAACCUGUUAAUAUAUAGUUAGACCAAAUCCAAAACUGUUGCAGAAAAUGCAACUAUUGGCACUUUAGCUGUUUAGCAGGAGUCAUACUUGCAAUCCUACUAUACCGUUACAGCUCUAUAACCAACUGAGUUACGGAGCGACAGUUGUUCAGCUCUAAAAAAAAAAUCAUGUAUAAAUACAAAGUGGGUCCAAAUGUACGCUGUUUGGGUAAAUAGCAAGACUUUGGGAAUCUCACUCCCAAUGACCCCUUGCUGAAAGGAUUUACAAUUGGAUUUUCAUGAAGGAUUUAUAUACAAAUUGAUGACGCUUAACAAGGAGCAUUUAAAAAACAUGCAACUCGAUACCCGCACAUUUACAUCACCUUAAUAUUUACAUGAACACCAUGUGAAAGCUCCACAACUAUUUUUCUUUAUCUCAGUUUAUUAGAACGCCGAUACUGCAAACUGACUGGGCCGUAUGGAUUGUUUUCUUUAACUAAGAAUAAUUGUUACGUUCUUUUACAGGUUUUGGAAUAGGUAUCAUGAAGUCAUGAAAAAUUCCACUUUUGAUGUCAACUUAUAAAUACCUCGUACGAUUAGUUGAAAACUUCAUAUAAUUUUCAUUUAGACGUGGACGAAUGUCUCUCAAACUCGACAUGCAACGCGAGUGCAACAUGUAACAACACAGAAGGAUCUUAUACAUGCACGUGUGAUUCUGGAUACAGUGGUGAUGGAUUUUCUUGCGUUGGUAUGCACAGCAUUGAGUUAUUAAUUAUUUUAACCGCCAGAAUAACUAGGAACCUGUUAUUAUAUAGUUUGACCAAAUCCAAAACUGUUGCAGAAAAUGCAACUAUUGGCACUUUAGCUGUUUAGCAGGAGUCAUACCUGCAACACUACUAUACCGGUGCAGCUCUAUAACCAACAGAGCUAUACGCAGCGACAGUUGUUCAGCUCUAACAAAAAAACGUGUAUAAAGACAAAGUUGGUCCCAAUGUACGCUGUAUGGUUAAAUAGCGACAUUUUGGGAAUCGCGCUCGCUAUGACCCCUUGUUGAAGGGAUUUAAAAGACUGACUGGGCCGUAGGUUGGUUUCUUUAAACGAGAAUAAUUGUUACGGUUUUUUUAACAGCUUUUGGAAUAGGUCUCACUAAGUCAUGAAAAAUUCCACUUUUAUGAUUACCUCGUACGAUUAGUUGAAAUCUUCAUAUAAUUUUCAUUUAGACGUGGACGAAUGUCUCUCAAACUCAACAUGCAACGCGAGUGCAACAUGUAACAACACAGAAGGAUCUUAUACAUGCACGUGUGAUUCUGGAUACAGUGGGGAUGGAUUAUCUUGCGUUGGUAUGCACAGCAUUGAGUUAUUAAUUAUUGUAACAAUCAGAAAAACUAGGAACCUGUUAAUAUAUAGUUAGACCAAAUCCAAAACUGUUGCAGAAAAUGCAACUA